AGAGAGAGCUUGCAUGCUAAUAUGCAAAUUUAUUCAGUAUUUGGAGCACAUAUUUACAUUCUUCACUGAAUGUGAUGUCUUUCUAUGUAACAGAUUUGCACAGAAAACAGCUGUGAAGAUCAGAUGCAAAAUCUAACAUUUAAGAGAGACAACUAAAACAGAUUGCAUUACAAUGGAAUUGCUGUAUCUGAUGCUGAUAUUUAUCAUCAGUGACAUGAGAAAAGCUGUAAAAGGCCAGCGCUGUGGGGUUUCUUCACUCAGUGCUGGUGUUGUAGGAGGUGA